rnacentral:hammerhead_ribozyme from 1 species
CUUCAGCUGACGAGUCCCAAAUAGGACGAGACAAGCAUCCUGAAU